rnacentral:lncRNA from 1 species
AGCAAAGAAUCACAGAAAUAAAUAUGCUUUCGGAGAGCCACGACACUUGACCUUUGUUUUUACGUCUACCAACAUUUGGCAGCUCGUGCUGUUGUGUCCAGUGCAGGCGCACGGAUAGGGCUGCAUGCAGUCGGCGCCGCGCAUGCAUGCGCAUGGCCGGCGACGAGUACAUGCCGUGUAAAGCAGAGGUGGCAUGAUGCAUAUACGACGCUGUGCUGACAUUGCGGUGCCGUGUAAACAAGCAUGCGUGCAUGCCGCCAUGCCGACGU